GAUCCAGGCAUGCCGCGUGUGUGAAGAAGGCCUUAGGGUUGUAAAGCACUUUAAGUGAGGAAGAAAAGAUUUAAACUAAUACUUUAAGUCCCUGACAUUACUCACAGAAUAAGGACCGGCUAACUCCGUGCCAGCAGCCGCGGUAAUACGGAGGGUCCAAGCGUUAAUCGGAAUUACUGGGCGUAAAGCGCGCGUAGAUGGUUUAUUCAGUUGGGUGUGAAAUCCCUGGGCUCAACCUAGGAACUGCAUUCAAAACUUAUAAACUAGAGUACGAAAGAGGAGAGUAGAAUUCAUGGUGUAGCGGUGAAAUGCGUAGAGAUCAUGAGGAAUACCAGUGGCGAAGGCGACUCUCUGGUUCGAGACUGACAUUGAGGUGCGAAAGCGUGGGUAGCAAACAGGAUUAGAUACCCUGGUAGUCCACGCCGUAAACGAUGAGAACUAGCCGUUGGAUCUUUAGAUUCAGUGGCGCAACUAACGCAUUAAGUUCUCCGCCUGGGGAGUACGGCCGCAAGGCUAAAACUCAAAUGAAUUGACGGGGGCCCGCACAAGCGGUGGAGCAUGUGGUUUAAUUCGAUGCAACGCGAAGAACCUUACCAACCCUUGACAUCCAGUGGAAGUUUUAGAGAUAAAACUGUGCCUUUGGGAACACUGUGACAGGUGUUGCAUGGCUGUCGUCAGCUCGUGUCGUGAGAUGUAUGGUUAAGUCCAGUAACGAGCGCAACCCUUAUCCUUAUUUGCCAGCACUUCGGGUGGGAACUUUAAGGAGACUGCCGUGAAUAACACAGAGG
rnacentral:rRNA from 1 species